rnacentral:rRNA from 1 species
AUUGAACGCUGGCGGCAGGCCUAACACAUGCAAGUCGAACGAGUGGCGGACGGGUGAGUAAUGUCUGGGAAACUGCCCGAUGGAGGGGGAUAACUACUGGAAACAGUAGCUAAUACCGCAUACCAUCGGAUGUGCCCAGAUGGGAUUAGCUAGUAGGUGGGGUAACGGCCCACCUAGGCGACGAUCCAUAGCUGGUCUGAGAGGAGGACCAGCCACACUGGAACUGAGACACGGUCCAGACUCCUACGGUAGGCAGCAUGGGGGAAUAUUGAACAAUGGGCGCAAGCCGGAUGCAGCCAUGCCGCGUGUAUGAAGAAGGCCUUCGGGUUGUAAAGUACUUUCAGCGAGGAGGCGUUACUCGCAGAAGAAGCACCGGCUAACUCCGUGCCAGCAGCCGCGGUAAUUC